rnacentral:rRNA from 1 species
GCAAGUCGAACGUGAAAAUAUCUUCGGAUAUGAGUAAAGUGGCGCACGGGUGAGUAACGCGUAGGUGACCAACCGAGUAGUGGGGGAUAACCUAGGGAAACCUGGGCUAAUACCGCAUAAGCAAAUAAUUCCUGAAAGUUAAUUUGGAAAGAUGGCCUCUGCUUGCAUGCCAUUGCUACUUGACGGGCCUGCGAGACAUUAGCUUGAUGGUGGGGUAAUGGCCUACCAUGGCGACGAUGUCUAGCCGGUCUGAGAGGAUGAUC